UACGGGGGGAGCAAGCGUUGUUCGGAUUUACUGGGCGUAAAGGGCGCGUAGGCGGCCACCGCAAGUCAAUUGUGAAAUCUCCGGGCUUAACUCGGAAAGGUCAACUGAUACUGCGGGGCUAGAGUGCGGAAGGGGCAACUGGAAUUCUCGGUGUAGCGGUGAAAUGCGUAGAUAUCGAGAGGAACACCUGCGGCGAAGGCGGGUUGCUGGGCCGACACUGACGCUGAUGCGCGAAAGCCAGGGGGGCGAACGGG
rnacentral:rRNA from 1 species